rnacentral:rRNA from 1 species
GCGAAGUCCGUGCUAGUCGUCGCGGGAAUGUGUUGGGGGCUCGGGUUGGCUGGAAGCUGUGGCCGUGAAUGGCGUGUCGGCGGCCCGUGAAGUCCGCGGUGGAAGUCGUGGGCUCAACCCUCGAAGGCCGGUGGUUACUGUCGGGUUAGAGUGCGGAAGAGGCGAGUGGAAUUCCUGGUGUAGCGGUGAAAGUCGCAGAUAUCAGGAGGAACACCGAUUGCGAAGGCAGCUCGCUGGGACGUAACUGACGCUGCGGCUCGAAAGCGUGGGGAGCAAACAGGAUUAGAUACCGCUGUAGUC